rnacentral:rRNA from 1 species
AUGCUGGAGGUAUCAGAAGUGCGAAUGCUGACAUAAGUAACGAUAAAGCGGGUGAAAAGCCCGCUCGCCGGAAGACCAAGGGUUCCUGUCCAACGUUAAUCGGGGCAGGGUGAGUCGACCCCUAAGGCGAGGCCGAAAGGCGUAGUCGAUGGGAAACAGGUUAAUAUUCCUGUACUUGGUGUUACUGCGAAGGGGGGACGGAGAAGGCUAUGUUGGCCGGGCGACGGUUGUCCCGGUUUAAGCGUGUAGGCUGGUUUUCCAGGCAAAUCCGGAAAAUCAAGGCUGAGGCGUGAUGACGAGGCACUACGGUGCUGAAGCAACAAAUGCCCUGCUUCCAGGAAAAGCCUCUAAGCAUCAGGUAACAUCAAAUCGUACCCCAAACCGACACAGGUGGUCAGGUAGAGAAUACCAAGGCGCUUGAGAGAACUCGGGUGAAGGAACUAGGCAAAAUGGUGCCGUAACUUCGGGAGAAGGCACGCUGAUAUGUAGGUGAGGCGACUUGCUGGUGGAGCUGAAAUCAGUCGAAGAUACCAGCUGGCUGCAACUGUUUAUUAAAAACACAGCACUGUGCAAACACGAAAGUGGACGUAUACGGUGUGACGCCUGCCCGGUGCCGGAAGGUUAAUUGAUGGGGUUAGCGCAAGCGAAGCUCUUGAUCGAAGCCCCGGUAAACGGCGGCCGUAACUAUAACGGUCCUAAGGUAGCGAAAUUCCUUGUCGGGUAAGUUCCGACCUGCACGAAUGGCGUAAUGAUGGCCAGGCUGUCUCCACCCGAGACUCAGUGAAAUUGAACUCGCUGUGAAGAUGCAGUGUACCCGCGGCAAGACGGAAAGACCCCGUGAACCUUUACUAUAGCUUGACACUGAACAUUGAGCCUUGAUGUGUAGGAUAGGUGGGAGGCUUAGAAGUGUGGACGCCAGUCUGCAUGGAGCCGACCUUGAAAUACCACCCUUUAAUGUUUGAUGUUCUAACGUUGACCCGUAAUCCGGGUUGCGGACAGUGUCUGGUGGGUAGUUUGACUGGGGCGGUCUCCUCCUAAAGAGUAACGGAGGAGCACGAAGGUUGGCUAAUCCUGGUCGGACAUCAGGAGGUUAGUGCAAUGGCAUAAGCCAGCUUGACUGCGAGCGUGACGGCGCGAGCAGGUGCGAAAGCAGGUCAUAGUGAUCCGGUGGUUCUGAAUGGAAGGGCCAUCGCUCAACGGAUAAAAGGUACUCCGGGGAUAACAGGCUGAUACCGCCCAAGAGUUCAUAUCGACGGCGGUGUUUGGCACCUCGAUGUCGGCUCAUCACAUCCUGGGGCUGAAGUAGGUCCCAAGGGUAUGGCUGUUCGCCAUUUAAAGUGGUACGCGAGCUGGGUUUAGAACGUCGUGAGACAGUUCGGUCCCUAUCUGCCGUGGGCGCUGGAGAACUGAGGGGGGCUGCUCCUAGUACGAGAGGACCGGAGUGGACGCAUCACUGGUGUUCGGGUUGUCAUGCCAAUGGCACUGCCCGGUAGCUAAAUGCGGAAGAGAUAAGUGCUGAAAGCAUCUAAGCACGAAACUUGCCCCGAGAUGAGUUCUCCCUGACCCUUUAAGGGUCCUGAAGGAACGUUGAAGACGACGACGUUGAUAGGCCGGGUGUGUAAGCGCAGCGAUGCGUUGAGCUAACCGGUACUAAUGAACCGUGAGGCUUAACCUU